CAGCAGCCGCGGUAAAACGAGGGGGGCAAGCGUUGUUCGGAAUUAUUGGGCGUAAAGGGCGCGUAGGCGGUUUGACAAGUCUGAUGUGAAAUCUCUGGGCUCAACCCAGAGUCUGCAUCGGAAACUGUCGAGCUUGAGUAUGGGAGAGGUGAGUGGAAUUUCCGGUGUAGCGGUGAAAUGCGUAGAUAUCGGAAGGAACACCUGUGGCGAAAGCGGCUCACUGGACCAUUACUGACGCUGAGGCGCGAAAGCUAGGGGAGCAAACAGGAUUAGAUACCCCAGUAGUCCCUGUCUCUUAUAC
rnacentral:rRNA from 1 species